UACGUAGGGGGCUAGCGUUGUCCGGAAUCAUUGGGCGUAAAGCGCGUGUAGGCGGUCCGGUAAGUCCGCUGUGAAAGUCGGGGGCUCAACCCUCGGAUGCCGGUGGAUACUGUCGGGCUUGAGUACGGAAGAGGCGAGUGGAAUUCCUGGUGUAGCGGUGAAAUGCGCAGAUAUCAGGAGGAACACCAAUUGCGAAGGCAGCUCGCUGGGACGUUACUGACGCUGAGACGCGAAAGCGUGGGGAGCAAACAGGAUGCGAAACCCCUGUAGUCC
rnacentral:rRNA from 1 species